rnacentral:rRNA from 1 species
AUUGAACGCUGGCGGCAGGCCUAACACAUGCAAGUCGAGCGAGCGGCGGACGGGUGAGUAAUGUAUGGGGAUCUGCCCGAUAGAGGGGGAUAACUCAUGGCACCGGUGGCUAAUACCGCAUAAUAUCGGAUUACCCCAUAUGGGAUGACCUAGUAGGUGGGGGAAAGGUUCAUCUAGGCGACGAUCUCUAGCUGGUCUGAGAGGAUGAUCAGCCACACUGGGACUGAGACACGGCCCAGACUCCUACGGGAGGCAGCAGUGGGGAAUAUUGCACAAUGGGCGCAAGCCUGAGGCAGCCAUGCCGCGUGUAUGAAGAAGGCCUUAGGGUGGUAAAGUACUUUCAGCGGGGAGGCGUUACCCGCAGAAGAAGCACCGGCUAACUCCGUGCCAGCAGCCGCGGUAAUAC